rnacentral:rRNA from 1 species
UACGGAGGAUGCAAGCGUUAUCCGGAAUGAUUGGGCGUAAAGCGUCCGCAGGUGGCUGUGUAAGUCUGCUGUUAAAGAGUCUAGCUCAACUAGAUAAAAGCAGUGGAAACUACACGGCUAGAGUACGUUCGGGGCGGAGGGAAUUCCUGGUGUAGCGGUGAAAUGCGUAGAGAUCAGGAAGAACACCGGUGGCGAAGGCGCUCUGCUAGGCCGUAACUGACACUGAGGGACGAAAGCUAGGGGAGCGAAUGGG